UCUAUUUGUAUUAUGCUGUGAGGACCUAAUUCUUUUUUAUUCUUCUCUGCUUCCAUUGCUCAAGGCUCAAGAUUAGUUCUCAUUUUGUUCUUUGGUAAAUUAUUUAUUUUCUGUUACUCUGUCACCUUUUUAAGAGAUGUUUGGACACAGACAUUCAUUAUUUCAUAUGUAUUAAUCUACUAGUAAUUAGUACAAUCUUUGGAACUUAUUAUAUUAGUUUAGUUGUAUGUGUCAGCUUGGCUAGGCACACUACCCAGUUAUUUAACCAAACACCAAUCUAAGUGUUGCUGUGGGGGUACUUUCUAGAUGUGGUUAACAUCUGCAACUAGAUCUGGCCUUGGACCAGAGGCACUGUGAUCUUUAGUUAUGGCUUUACGUCUCCUGCUCAUGCUCCAAGGUGUAUAGCAGUGCCACCAAAUUGAGUCUCCUUCUAUUCUGCUUAAAGAUUAAGAAAGGAUGUUGCCACAUAGGAAUAGAAUUUUAAAACUCAUGAUGUUCCCAGGUCAUUUGGCUUCUGGAUACCGUCCUCAUCAUGAAACACCCUGUGAAUUCUCUCUGCAUUCUGCUAGAGCUGGGGCUGGAUCUCAUGAACACAGCAAGUAAACAAAUGACUCAGACAGCAGGAGUCCAAUAUCCUCAAUAGUGUGGAUGGGCCUCAUUUAAUCCAUUGAAAGGCCUUAAAAGUCAAACACUGAGAUUUCCCAGAGAAGAAAUUUUGCAUUAAGAUGGCAUCAUUAAUCCUGCCUGAGUUUCCAGCCUCUACCACUUUCAAACUUGCCAUCCCCCACAAUCAUCCAUCCUUUAUCUUGAGAAACAUUUAAGAACAGUAUGGAUGUUGAGAGCAUUAACCAAAAUUCAGAUGAACUGGUUUCAACAUUAGCUUUUCCACUUCCUCCACUUUCUGAUGAAGCUUCUGAAACUCUCCCAACUUUGAUUUUCUUAUGUGCAAAAUACGAAUUAAAAAAACCUAUCCCAUAAAGUUGCUGUGAAAAUUAAAUAGUCAAUGUAUGGAAAUCAUACAGAAGAAUGCCUGGUCAAGGUAAGCAUUUCAGUAAAUAUUAGUAAACAGUAUUUUCAUUGGUUACUUCUUGAAAUAUGUCCUUUUUCUGUCUCAGAUUCUAACCUCCAAUUGGCUUGACAAUGCCGUUAUAAUUAGGAAACAAUAAACUAAAAUUGUGUUGUCAACUUUUAAGUCUAUUCCAGACUUGGUCAAUAUCUUAAAACACACAUUAGAAUAUGUUGCUGUUGUAAAUCACCUUCUUAUGACCCCAUAGGUAGUAUUCUCCUUUUUCCAGCACAGCAUGUUGAUACUAUCCAACAUCCAACAUGUUGUAUUAAUGCACACUGCCCUGGUGAUACAAUGAAGAAAAUAGCAUAUGCCUGGAAGAAGCAGAAUUAGUGAACAAAAGUAUGAAUACAAGGUAGAGAUUAGCAAUUUUAUUAUUGUAAUUAUGUCUGAUUUAUGAAAAUGUUCAUGUGAAGUACUUAUACUGGACUUUGAGAGAAAUAUGUAAUUUCAAGCAGUUUAUCAAAGUAUAAAAUGAUGUAGGUUUUAUAAUGCAUUAAAUUAUUAAGACAAGAUAUAACUGGGCUUUAGGCAGCACACGAAAAAGUAGUAAGUUUAAAUUACAAUUAAACACAAAGUCAGCAAUGUUUGUUGUUUUCCGUAGAGAAAUAGAAAUUGUCAAUAUUUUAGAGCUUAUUAGUCAGUUGAAGUUGUCCUUUAUCUUCACUUCUCGUAUCAUGUUUUGCUGUCUUUCUGUUUUAGCAUGAAUCUGUUAGAUGUAGCAAAUCUCACCCAAAUAAUUCUCAUUAAGACCACACUUUGGAAGGGGGUCAGGGCAUGGAACAGAUAAUACUACUUACAACCUAGAUUAUAAAUUGGUUUUUUUUUUCCCACUUAACCCCAUCACACAUAAAUUACAAAAAAAAAUUCAUAUGACUGUAGUCAUUUAUUUUUACUAAAGGUAUGACGAAAUAGUUAACAAAUAUUGGACACCUGCUAAGUGAGAGGUACAAUUCUAUACAAACUACUGUGCUGGGUAGUUUGAGUCUUUUGCCUCCCCUUAUAAACAUCAGAAUCAGUUUAUCAAUAUCAACAGAGUAACUUGUUGGAAUUUUGAUUGGGAUGGCAUUGGAUCUAUAGAUCAAAGUGGGAAGAACUGACAUCCUGAAAAUAUGCUUUUCUUAUGUAUGAACACGGAAUUUCUCUUUGUUUAUUUAGAAUAUUGUUGAUUUCUUUUAUUAAAGUUUGUAUUUUGCUUGUGAACAGAAAUAGUUUGAUAUCUUCUUUCUCAUUAUGAGUCACCUUUCUUUUCUUUGCUUGUUUUACUGCAUUAUCUAGGUGUUCUAGUAUAGUGUGAAUAGAAGUGAUGAGAGGGAAUGUGCUUGCAUUGUUCCCAACCUUAGGGAGAAAGUAUCUUGUUUUUCACCAUUAAGUAUGAGGUCAGCUGCAGGGUUUUUGUAAAUGUUCUUUUUAAGAAAUUUCUUCUUCACUCCUAGUUUAAUGAGGGGAAUAAUAAAUUUUAAGAAAAAAUAUAAAGAAAAGGAAGAGAAAACAAUAAACAAGAGGGUUUUUGUUUUUAAUGUGUUCAGGAAAUUGUCUCUGAGAAGUAAUAUUUCAAACCCACAUUAAAUGAGACAGCUUUCCAUGUCAAGAUUAGGUAAAAGAGAACUCUAGGAGAAAGGAAGUAGAACUAUAAACAUUAUCAAGUGCAAUUUAGUUGGGUAUUAAGAAAACUUUAUUUUUUUCAUUUUCUCCUGUACUAAUUCUGUUUUUGAAAAAUAUGUAAUGUUCAUUGGAUUUAGUGUCUCCCUUAUAUUUUGUUUGUGUUCUGCAGAUAUUGUUUGGUAUGAUUAUUUAUAUUUACAUGUAAAAGUCUAGAAUAUAGACUCUGUUCAAUCUAUACUUUUAAGAAAAUAAACUUUUUUUAUAUGGGCAUAUUUUCUACACCCAGAUGAGACAUUUUUGUUUUCUUGUGAUAUAUGCAGGGCCCUGGUGUCCAUGUUGCACUCUAGUGAUUAUGUGGGAGGACUGGACUUCAGCCAAGUCAGGAUGUCCACAGUAGGAUGAUAUGUUUGGUAGGGGCAUGCCCCCAUAUGGCCGUAAAAUAAGUAGAACACUAUUCUGCUUCUCUGAUCUAAACAAUAAAAACACAACCAUAUGGAACUUUCCAGAAUUAGAACUCCAACUUAAGCCUGUUUUUUGUUGCUCAAGUACAAAUACUGAUAACUCUUUUUUGUUGUCGAGAUUCGUAUUAGCUUACUAUUGCUGAUCUAAGAAAUCAUUACAAAUUUAGUAGCUUAAAACAACACAGAAUUUAUUAUCUUUUCCAGUCUUACAGUUCUGGAGGUCAGAUGUCUGAAACGGAUUUUGUGGAGCUAAAGUCAAGGUGUUUGCAGAGCGGUGUUGCUUCUGUGAGCUCGGGAGGCAAUUCUGUUCCUGCCCUUUCCAGUUUCUGGAGGCUGCCUGAAUUCAUGGCCACAUCAUUCCAACUUAGGCUUUUAUAAUUUGAUCUGCGCGACUCCCUGGACUUCAUCCUUUCAUUCUAGCGACAACUAGCUACCCAGUUUGGGUCAAUGGAAGUAAACACGUCAAGAGCAUUCUUUGUAACUUCUAUGUCUCCUACUUUUCACAUCAGCGUUAUAAAGAAGUGAUGCCUGGAUCUGUGACAGCCAUCAUGAGAUAAUGAAGCAACAAACUGAAGGCUAAAAGAAAGCCAGCCUGCCAGAACAGUGGGAUUGAAGGACUGAGAGCCUGGGUAUCUCUGAGGCUCCUAUUCAAGCUCUAUGGAACCACAAAUGAGCUUCUUUAAAUAUUUUGCUAAUAAGUAAUGUGUUUCUACGGACAUGUUUCCCUGUCACCCCAACAAAAUAAAUUAUAAUUGACUUGUUCAUUC
rnacentral:lncRNA from 1 species